GAUGAACGCUGACAGAAUGCUUAACACAUGCAAGUCUACUUGAAUUUGGGUUUUUUAACUUAGAUUUGGGUGGCGGACGGGUGAGUAACGCGUAAAGAACUUGCCUCACAGCUAGGGGCAACAUUUGGAAACGAAUGCUAAUACCUGAUAUUAUGAUUAUAAGGCAUCUUAGCAUUAUGAAAGCUAUAUGCGCUGUGAGAGAGCUUUGCGUCCCAUUAGCUAGUUGGAGAGGUAACGGCUCACCAAGGCGAUGAUGGGUAGCCGGCCUGAGAGGGUGAACGGCCACAAGGGGACUGAGACACGGCCCUUACUCCUACGGGAGGCAGCAGUGGGGAAUAUUGGACAAUGGACCAAGAGUCUGAUCCAGCAAUUCUGUGUGCACGAUGACGUUUUUCGGAAUGUAAAGUGCUUUCAGUUGGGAAGAAAAAAAUGACGGUACCAACAGAAGAAGUGACGGCUAAAUACGUG
rnacentral:rRNA from 1 species